rnacentral:rRNA from 1 species
UACGGGGGGAGCAAGCGUUGUUCGGAUUUACUGGGCGUAAAGGGCGCGUAGGCGGCCACUGCAAGUCGGUUGUGAAAUCUCCGGGCUUAACCCGGAAAGGUCAAUCGAUACUGCAGGGCUAGAGUGCGGAAGGGGCAACUGGAAUUCUCGGUGUAGCGGUGAAAUGCGUAGAUAUCGAGAGGAACACCUGCGGCGAAGGCGGGUUGCUGGGACGGUACUGACGCUGAGACGCGAAAGCGUGGGGAGCGAACAGG